UGACAGGAGGAAGCGGCCCGUUAAAGCGCUCACACGCUCUUCUUUCGUCCGCGGGAGAAAAGUUGUGCAACUUCUUUUUUACUGCGACAAGAUACCAUGAACCGAUUACAUUUACUUUAUUUCAUUAUAUCCCUCGUUAUAAGUCAAAGCGAUGCCGUGUUCAGGGUCCCUUUACACAGGACGCGCACUGUGCGGAGACUGCUGUGCGACAGUGGGAUGACCCUCGAUGAGCUUAGGGCCAAGGCUGAGGAACUCGCCGGAUCGUGGGGUUAUUCCGUGCAGGAGGUUCCCGUGGAGCGGCUCACCAACUUCAUGGAUGCUCAGUACUAUGGCGUGAUCAGCAUCGGGUCCCCUCCGCAGAACUUCUCUGUGCUCUUCGACACUGGUUCCUCAAACCUGUGGGUGCCCUCCAUUCACUGCUCCUUCCUGGACAUUGCUUGCUGGUUCCACCGCAGAUAUGAUUCCAGGAAGUCCAACUCCUACGUGAAGAAUGGCACCAAGUUCUCCAUCCAGUAUGGCCGAGGCAGCCUGUCGGGGUUUCUCAGCCAGGACGUGGUCUCGCUGGCUGAUUUGGUGGUGACAGGGCAGCAGUUCGGCGAGGCCGUUAGCCAGCCCGGCAUCGUGUUUGCGGUGGCACGCUUUGACGGCGUGCUGGGGAUGGGGUAUCCUUCCAUCUCCGUGGGCAGCGUCACCCCCGUCUUCGACUCCGCAAUGGCUGCCAAGCUGCUGCCCCAGAACAUCUUCUCCUUCUACAUGAACAGGGACCCCACAGCAGAUGUCGGGGGUGAGCUCAUGCUGGGGGGUAUCGACAAGCAGUAUUACCAGGGUGAGCUGCACUACGUCAACGUUACCCGCAAAGCCUACUGGCAGAUAAAGAUGGACGGAGUUGCUGUUGGAAACCAGCUGACGUUGUGCAAGGGAGGCUGCCAGGCGAUCGUCGACACAGGAACGUCUCUUAUCGCCGGACCUGCGCAGGAAGUGCGAGCUCUGCAUAAGGCCAUUGGGGCUUUGCCCCUCUUGAUGGGGGAGUAUCUGAUUCUGUGCUCGAAGAUCCCAUCCCUCCCAGUUAUUUCCUUUACUCUGGGAGGAAAGCAGUUCAAUCUAACUGGAGAGGACUAUGUCCUGAAGGAAUCUCAGAUGGGGAAGUCGAUCUGUCUCUCGGGGUUCAUGGCCCUGGAUGUGCCGCCCCCAGCCGGGCCACUCUGGAUCCUGGGAGACGUCUUCAUUGGACGCUACUACAGCGUGUUUGACCGAGACGCGGAUCGAGUGGGUUUCGCGCCCGCAAAGUAGAGUUUUAUGGACAAGGGAUCAGAGCCAGAGGUGAUGAUACAAAGACGAAGCCUGCUGCUGGUCACACGCUUCCCUGCCAGCUUUCUGAGCUUCAUCACAUGCCAUCUUAUAUCACCACCUGCGGUCUAUCCUGCACUCAUUCCCCAAAGUAUUAAGUAUAGCAGAAUCGGUAAUGGAAAUUCCAAAUAUGGUUUAUUGUUGAGGUAAAGACUAGGCUCGGGGUAUGAGGAGCGAGAUCAGACAACAGGAUUCCACUACAUUUUCAUGUCUUUAAUAACAGUGCCUGAAGCCAGCAGAAUCUGAAUACAUUAAAGUCAGAAAACUGAAUAUUGACAGGCCACAAUCUUUGAACACAGUUUACCAUUUGGAGCGUGCCCUUCAAUCCUAACACGUCACAGGAACACGCUGCUGACUGACAGUAUUCUCUUCCCCGAAUACACUACUAUCUGUAACAUUUAUAGAAACAAGUAGUGUCUGCAUAUAAAUAUCCUGAAAUGAAAAGAUACACUGCAUAGAGACAGUGCACAGACCCAUAAAAUACACAAUUCUGUUCAGAAGAUUUCCAAAAAAGUUGCUUCAAGUGGUUAAUGUUAAAAUAAAUGAAACAAUGCUGGAAAAGGUAUGAUUCUGGACCAUUAUGUAGGUUUAUAGAUAUUUAAGUGGAUAUUCUCAGUGAAUUUCGGUUCACUUACACAUAAAGUGACAAAUGCAUUUGCAACCGUUUGGUUGUGCCUGCAUGAUAAAUACAAAAUUAGUUAUAAAAAAAAAGUACAUAUAUUGCACAUCUCUUUAUUAAAUAAAUUUAUCCUUACA